UGGGGAAUCUUGCACAAUGGACGAAAGUCUGAUGCAGCAACGCCGCGUGGGGGAUGAAGCUUCUCGGAGUGUAAACCCCUUUCGACCCGGAAGAAUGCCCGCAAGGGUAUGACGGUACGGGUAUAAGAAGCCCCGGCUAACUACGUGCCAGCAGCCGCGGUAAUACGUAGGGGGCCAGCGUUGCUCGGAAUUACUGGGCGUAAAGGGUCCGUAGGCGGUGUAGCAAGUCGAUAGUGAAAUCUCUGGGCUUAACCCAGAGGCUGCUAACGAAACUGCUGUGCUAGAGUGUGAGAGAGGCGAGUGGAAUUACGGGUGUAGCGGUGAAAUGCGUAGAUAUCCGUAGGAACAUCCGAGGCGAAGGCGGCUCGCUGGAUCACAACUGACGCUGAGGGACGAAAGCUAGGGGAGCAAACAGGAUUAGAUACCCCCGUAGUCC
rnacentral:rRNA from 1 species